GAGGUUGUGGCUCAGUGGUAGAGCAUUCACCUAGUAGAUGCAAGAUGCUGGGUUCGGUCCUCAGCACCACA
rnacentral:tRNA from 1 species